GAACUGGGUCUGCUGUCACUCUCUAGGUGUUCAGUGGAUGCUUUACACACAUCAAGUUUCAGGUCAUUUAUCUGUUGAUCUAGCUGCUGGAGAUGAGUCUUCAAUCCCACAUCCUGUUUGCGUAGACGUGUCUGCAGGGUCAGAGCCCAGUGCACCAUGGCCCUCUGUUUGUCCCGGAGGAAAUGCAGCUCUUGCAGUCCGGCCAGCGCUGCGUGCAGUCUCUCUCCUGUCCUCCCUCGGUCCAUUCCUACAGCAGCUGCGCUCAGCACACCUGAUCCAGGAAACGUGUGGUGAUGAGAACAGGACUUUAGAUAGCAUCAGGGUUCGAGCCCUCAUCGCUGGCAGUGGCACUGCGAGGUAAAGUCAAACUGUGCCACACUGUCUUUCCCCUACAGCUUGGAUGAGUUUACCUCUGACAGCCACAGGAUGUGGGAGAGGAAGUGAGAUGCCAGAGAGAUACAAAAAUCCAUGCAACAAACAGACCUUUUAUGUAUAAGGCAGAGGAAGCAAAAUCUGAUCGAGAUUAAAAACAUUGUUUUAUCAAUGUCAUAAAAUGGGCGAUGGUCUGAUUAGGUUUUCGAGUUAACCAUCUAAACAAACGAAUCUUACAAAUCCUGUCUGGGUCAUAUUCACCACAAAAUCAAAGGAUAGAAAGUAAUUACAUUUUGCAUUAGGAAAAUUGGUAUUUUUAGGUCUUUUAUAAUGUUUUGCACCCUAAUUAUCAUUAUGAUUUAGCACAGAGACAUUUCUUAUUACCAUAAUUAAAAUAAAUAAGCAAAUAAAAAAUAAAAAGAUAAGCAAUUAUGUUUUGUACUACAUUUGUACAAUAAUUUAUGCACCUAAAUUUCUGUGAAUUUUGAAAAGCUAUUGUGCCCAGACAGGACUUUUUAUUCUGUAUACAGUAAUAAAAUUUUAAUUAGAAAUAUCAAUGAAUAAAUGGGUUUAAUUUUAUUUACAAAAAAAUAUACAUUUCUCAUUUUGUUGACUUAUUUGGCAAUAAUAUGGCCCAGGAAGAAAUGUCUUUGUGAGAUUCAUCCAUACAGUGAUACUGCCGAAGUCAGAAACACAAUUUUGUGUAAGACACUGACUCUAAUGUACGUGCUAUUGUUGUUUACAUAAACUUGCCAAAGGGAGACACUGUACUGUGUUAUGAUGAGGAUGUCUGCUGUUGCCAGCAGGUGGCGCUAUGACCUAAGCAUUAAGUGCAGUAUUUGACCCCUGAUGUGAAUCUCAGGAAAACGAUGCAAGUUACACUUUACCCUUAAAAGCAAAAUAAAUUGUAUAAAAUAUAUAAAUAUUUUGUAUAAAUAUAUAGUAUAAAAUAUAUUCUUUUUUUUUUUCUUUUUUUUUUUUUUUUUUGGUCUCUUGCCUCUGGAUGUUUUACUUUCAUUUUACUUCCAAGUUUUAAUAGCAACUAAAUCUUUUGGUUUAUUUGAUGGUUUUUAUAUAACAUAUUUUUAUAAUAAUUCUCAUCACCUUCACAGUGGUGAUUUUCAUUAGAUUUUAAGUCUUUUUAAACUGUUUUACAGUAAUGUACAGUGAUUUUUGUUUAUUCAUUUAUUUAUUGCAUUACAGUAAUGAGAAUGAGAUAUUUUUGCCUUAUGGUAAUGCAAUAUGGUAAGAUGGUUAAUUAUCUUAUUUUGAUUUUGGGUUAAUUAUAAUUAAAUCCAUCAAAAAAAAAUAAAAUAAAUAAGUAAAUCAAAUAUAAGAUCACUGCCUGAGAUUUUGAACUACGGAUGAUCUGCUAGUUUUCAAUAAGGAUGUUUACUAAAAUACUUUUCUGUAAAAACGUGACAUAUGUGUGAUGUUGGAAAAUGUCAUCUUGCAGAGUUGUGAGGGUCCAGGGUCUCAGCCGUUUGCUUUCAUCAGUGUGAGGCGAAGGUCUUGGACUGUAAACCAGAGAUACUGCAUGAGCCCGUAAGGGGAAGUG